GGGCCCCGCGCACGGCGGCGCGCACCUUGCGCCAGCCCAGGUGGUUGAGCUCGGCCAGGUUGAGCAGGACGCAGACGCCGGAGACGGCGAACAUGAAGACGAGGAAGACGCUCUUCUCGGUGGGCCGCGACACGUAGCACUCCACCUCCUUGACGCACGGGUAGCGGUCGCACUCGAAGAUGGCCGGCACGCGGAAUCCGUACAGGAAAUAUUGCCCGCCCAGGAAUCCGAUCUCCAGAGCGUUCCGGAACACCACCUGCGGCCGCGGGGAGAGGGGUGAAUCGUGUAAUUAAUCGUGUAAUUAAUUGUGUAAUCGAUCGUGGGGUUGAUCGUGGGGCUGGGACGGGGAUAAAUGAUGUGAUUAAUUGUGUAAUCAAUCAUGGGAUCGAUCGUGGGAUAAAUCAUGGGAUCAAUCAUGGGGCAGGGACGGGGAUAAAUGAUGUAAUUAAUCGUAUAAUCAAUCGUGGGAUCGAUCGUGGGAUCAAUCAUGGGGCAGGGACCAGGAUAAAUGAUGUAAUUAAUCAUGUAAUCAAUCAUGGGACCAAUCACAGGACGGGGAUAAAUGACACAGUUAAUCAUGGGAUCAAUCAUGGGAUCAAUCACGGGGUAGGGACCGGGAUAAAUGAUGUAAUUAAUCAUAUAAUCGAUCAUGGGAUCGAUCAUGGGGCAUGGACCAGGAUAAAUCGUGUAAUUAAUCGUGGGAUCAAUUGUGGGGUCGAUCGUGGGGCUGGGACGGGGAUAAAUGAUGUAAUUAAUCGUGUAAUCAAUCCUGGGGUUGAUCGUGGGGUCAAUCAUGGGAUCAAUCACGGGAUCAAUCAUGGGAUCAAUCACAGGACAGGGAUAAAUGACACAAUUAAUCAUGGGAUCAAUCACGGGGCAGGGACGGGGAUAAAUGAUGUAAUUAAUCGUAUAAUCAAUCGUGGGAUCAAUCAUGGGAUCAAUCAUGGGAUCAAUCACGAGGUGGGGAUGGGGAUAAAUGAUGUAAUUAAUCAUAUAAUCA
rnacentral:lncRNA from 1 species